GUAGGUGGCAAGCGUUGUCCGGAAUUAUUGGGCGUAAAGCGCGCGCAGGCGGCUCUUUAAGUCUGAUGUGAAAGCCCACGGCUCAACCGUGGAGGGUCAUUGGAAACUGGAGAACUUGAGUACAGAAGAGGAAAGCGGAAUUCCACGUGUAGCGGUGAAAUGCGUAGAGAUGUGGAGGAACACCAGUGGCGAAGGCGGCUUUCUGGUCUGUAACUGACGCUGAGGCGCGAAAGCGUAGGGAGCAAACAGGAUUAGAUACCCUGGUAGUCCACGCCGUAAACGAUGAGUGCUAAGUGUUAGGGGGUUUCCGCCCCCUUAGUGCUGCAGCUAACGCAUUAAGCACUCCGCCUGGGAGUACGGCCGCAAGGCUG
rnacentral:rRNA from 1 species